rnacentral:lncRNA from 13 species
AUGUUGUGUCUUGUCUCUGUCCUUUCCCUUCACCCUGUCUCCCUCUGCUGGUCGUUGUUAGGUUACCUUUUCUUCCCCGCUUUCUCCCAGCUGUUCCUUGUCUCCUCUAACUACCCAUUCACCCCGUUUCCCACCUGUUCCUUGUCUCCUCUAACUACCCAUUCACCCCGUUUCCCACCUGUUCCCUUUUUCCCUCUGAUUAGGUCCCUAUAUCUCUCUCUGUUUCUGUUCCUGUCCUUGUCGGAUUCUUGUUUGUGUUUCAUGCCUGAGCCAGACUAUCGUCAUGUUUGCUGUAACCUUGUCCUGUCCUGUCGGAAUCUGCCGGUCUAUCUGAGCCUACCUAUGUUUGGUUAUUAAAGAAGCUCUGUUUAAGUUAGUUCGCUUUUGGGUCCUCAUUCACUCACCAUAACAUUACAAUGAUAUUACAUCUAUUUGCUUUUGACAGACAACUGAUUUGUCUUGAUGACCAAUUCCUGUAACUUAACUAUAGUCUCUUGAAUAUUGGUAAAUCAUUUUAUGGUGUCAGAUAUUUCAUUUAAAAUACUGUGUAUCAUACACAUUGCAGUCAUUACGGGUAGCAUGAGGGGGCUGAGUGUACAAAACAUUAGGAACACCGGCUCUUUCCAUGACUUAGCCUUCACCUGGAUUCACCUGAUCAGUCUAUGAACCCCUACUGAUGUCACUUGUUGAAUCCACUCCAAAUCAGUAUAGGUGAAGGGGAGGAGACAGGUUAAAGAAGGAUUUUUAAGCCUUGAGACAAUUGAGUCUUGGAUUGUGUAUGUGUGUCAUUCAGAGGGUGAAUGAGCAAGACAAAAGAUUUAAGUGCCUUUGAACAGGGUAUGUUAUUAGGUGCAAGGCGCACCGGUUUGUGUGUGUCAAGAAUUGCAACGCUGCUCGGUUUUUCACACUCAAACAGUUUCCCCAUGUGAAUUAAGAAUGGUUCACCAACCAAAGGACAUCCAGCCAACUUCACACAACUGUGGGAAGCAUUAGAGUCAACAUGGACCAGCAUGCCUGUGGAAUGUCUUCAACACCUUGUAGAGUCCAUGCCCCAAUGAAUUGAGGCUGUUCUGAGGGCAAAGGGGGUUCAACUCAAUAUUAGGAAGGUGUUCUAUUUUAAAAUUGCUUGUGAAACCAGUUGCUUGAACGUUGUUUUGACUUCACUUCAAGAAUUGUUCUUGAUUACAAUAUUCUGGUUCUUUUGUUUAUUUUAUGUUUAAGGCAAAUACAUUUUCUCUCAAAAAGGGAGGAGAGUUGGAGUUCUGUCUUUUAUGAUGCAGUGAUCUCUGAAAAUCUUUUAUAUUAAUCUAUCAGACUUGAUAAAACCACAUGUGAAAUCGCUAUUGACCAAUUCAAUCUGAUAAAGACUACUUUAUGUCUAUUGAAAUGUUUAAUUCAUCUGUCAUGUGGGGAUGUACACUACAUAGCCAAAAGUAUGUGGAAACUCCUUCAAAUUAGUGGAUUCUGCUAUUUCAGCCACACCCGUUGCUGACAGUUGUAUAAAAUUGAGCACACCUCCAUGCAAUCUCCAUAGACAAACAUUGGCAGUAGAAUGGCCCGUACUGAAGAGCUUAGUGACUUUCAACGUGGGACCGACAAAGGAUGCCACCUUUCCAACAAGUCAGUUUGUCAAAUUUCUGCCCUGCUAGAGCUGCCCCGGUCAACUGUAAGUGCUGUUAUUGUGAAGUGGACAUUUCUACGAGCAACAAUGGCUCAGCGGCAAAGUGAUAGGCCACACAAACUCACAGAAUGGGACUGACAAUUUCUGAAAUGCGUAGCAUGUAAAAAUAGUCGGUCCUCGGUUGCAACACUCACUACUGAGUUCCAAACUGCCUCUGGAAGCAACGUCAGCACAAUAACUGUUCAUCAGGAGCUUCAUUAAAUUGAUUUUCAUGGCUGAGCAGCCGCACACAAGCCUAAGAUCACCAUUCGCAAUGCCAAGCGUCAGCUGGAGAGGUGUAAAACUCGCCGCCAUUGGACACUGGAGCAGUGGAAACGUUCUCUGGAGUGAUGAAUCACGCUUCACCAUCUGGCAGUCAGACUAACAAAUCUGUGUUUGGUGGAUGCCAGGAGAACGCUAUCUGUCCGAAUGCAAAGUGCUAACUGUAAAGAUGGUGGAGGAGGAAUAAUGGUCUGGGGCUGUUGUUCAUGGUUCAGGUUAGGCUGCUUAGUUUCAGUGAAAGGGAAAUGUUAACGCUAUAGCCCACAAUAACAUUCUAGAUGACUGAGCUUCCAACUUUGUGGCAACAGUUUGGGGAAGGCCCUUUCCUGUUUCAGCAUGACAAUGCCCCCAUACAGAAAUGGUUUGUCGAGAUCGUUGUGGAAGGACUUGACUGGCCUGCACAGAGCCCUGAUCUCCCCAUUGAACAGCUUUGGGAUGAAUUGGAAUGCCGACUACUAGCUAGGCCUAAUCGGCCAACAUCAGUUCCGACCUCAGAAAUGCUCUUGUGGCUGAAUGGAAGCAAGACCCUGCGGCAAUGUUCCAACAUCUAGCGGAAAGCCUUCCCAGAAGAUUGGAGGCUGUUAUAGCAGCAAAGGGGGCACCAACUCCAUAUUAAUGCCCAUCAUUUUUGGAACGAGAUGUUUGACGACCAUCUUUGGCAAUGUAGUGUGCCUUCAGUUCUGUGUUCUGCCCUCACAAGAAGAAUGGAGCAUUCCUUCUCUUCUCGUUUGCAUGAAGGUGUUACCUAAGGACAUUUGCAUGUCUAAAGAAGCUACGCAGCAAAAGGUCAGUCCUGAAGUGAUACAGCCAGGACCAUGAACUGAAGACUGUCUACAGUGACUACAGUGCUGGCUGUUCUGUCUGAUCCAAAAACAGAUGUGUUCAAGGGAGGAUUAUGUAGGGCAACCCAGACACUGAAUUGACUCUUAUCAACUGUAUGCAAGAGGGGUUAUUGUCUUCCCAGGAAUUCAGCCUUCUCUGUGUUGCUCUCUCCAUCCCCCAUUCUGUCACACCUCUGGUUAGCAGAGGUUCUGUUGUGAUAACAUACUGUAGGGCUGAUGUCUGAUUGGAGGUUAACUCAACAGCAAUCCUAUUGGUCAACAACUAAAGAUUUUUAAUCCAAACAACUCAGAUGUUAUAAAGGGGUCUCAGGUUCAAUGUCUUUCUCUUUGUUCCUGACCUGCUGAGGUGAGAUACACUCUUUCUCUCUCUCCUCCAAGAGCUAUGAGCCAUGACACAAGCCACGGAUUCCUUGUGUCCAGCUCUGCUCAUGCUUAGAUACUUAAAGUCAGUAUUGCCUUGUUAUUUAAGCUUAUGCCUUGUAUAAUGUAUUGUUCAUUUUACAAUGAUAUGAAGUCUAUUUGCUUUUGACAGACAACAGACAACCUAUUCCUGUAACUUAACUAUAGUCUCUUGCAUACUGGUAAAUAAUGUUUAACAACUCAGAUUAUAUAAAGGGGUCUCAGAAUCAUUGUCUCUUCUCUUUGUUCCUGACCUGCUGUGGUGAGAUACAAUCUCUUUAUCUCUCCACCCAAGAGCUACCAGCCAUGUUCUACACAAAUCAAAUCGAAUUUUAUUGGUCACAUGCACAUGGUUAGCAGAUGUUAUUGCAAGUGUAGCGAAAUGUUUGUGCUUCUAGUUCUGACAGUGCAGCAAUAUCAACAAGUAAUCUAACAACAACUACCUAAUACACACACAUCUAAGUAAAGGAAUGGAAUAAGAAUAUAUACAUAUAAAUAUAUGGAUGAGCAAUGACAGAAUGGAAUAGGCAAGAUGCAAUAGAUGGUAUAAAAUACAUUAUAAACAUAAGAGAUGAGUAAUGCAAGAUAUGUAAACAUUAUUAAAGUGGCCUUAUUAAAGUGACUAGUGAUCCAUUUAUUAAAGUGGCCAAUGAUAUCAAGUCUGUAUGUAGGCAGCAGCCUUUCUGUGAUAGUGAUGGCUGUUUAACAGUCUGAUGGCCUUGAGGUAGAAGCUGUUUUUCAGUCUCUCGGUCCCAGCUUUGAUGCACCUGUACUGACCUCGCCUUCUGGAUGAUUGCGGGGUGAACAGGCAGUGGCUCGGGUGGUUGUUGUCCUUGAUGCUCUUUUUGGCCUUUCUGUGACAUCGGGUACUGUAGGUAUCCUGGAGGGCAGGUAGUUUGCCCCCGGUGAUGCGUUGUGCAGACCGCACCACACUCUGGAGAGCCUUGUGAUUGUUGGCGGUACAGUUGCCGUAUCAGGCAGUGAUGCAGUUUUGCGUGAAUGCUGCCAUCUAUCCACGGUUUCUGGUUAGGGUAGGUUUUAAUAGUCACAGUGGGUACAACAUCUCCAAUGCACUUCCUGCAUCCCUGUAUGUCAAGUUACUGACAAAAGUACAGUGAGGCCACUAUGGCCUUAACUAACCCCUUUGGUAUGUGUGUGUGUUGCAUUGCAUGCAACUCUGUGUGGUACGUGCCAACAGCACAAGGCUAGCAGUGCCAGUGAGGGGUCCCAAAUGAGGGGCUUAGGAUGCAGGGCCAGCACUGGAGACCUAAACACACACACACAGCGGGCACCUAAUGAGCUGGCCGUGGUUCAACUGGUCAACCCUAAAAGACCAAGCACAGCACUGACCCAGCACGCUAUCGCUUACUGCAGCUAAUGAGUGUGAGACUGUGUGAGUGAACAGGAGAUUGAAGAGACAACGUGAGCGAUAAGUGUGCGCGCUCUUUCAUCUGGGAGAGAGAGAGUCGAGAAAAAUGCAGGCUAUUGAAAGAGAGAAGGUAAAGUGAGUCUGAAAGAGAGUCUGAGAUGUGUUUUCCUCUAUCAGCGACCUUCCUUAACAUAACAUACAACUGCACAAUAACAGGUAGAGGAUUUCCCAGGGAGUAGAACACAUGUUCCUGCUGUUACAGUGUGUGGGGGUGGGGGUGGGGGUGGGGGUGCAUGAGUCUAGGAGAGGGAGAGAAAAAAAAGAUGGCGAAAAAAGAUGGCGAGCAANNNNNNNNNNUUAACUCAACAGCAAUCCUAUUGGUCAACAACUAAAGAUUUUUAAUCCAAACAACUCAGAUGUUAUAAAGGGGUCUCAGGUUCAAUGUCUUUCUCUUUGUUCCUGACCUGCUGAGGUGAGAUACACUCUUUCUCUCUCUCCUCCAAGAGCUAUGAGCCAUGACACAAGCCACGGAUUCCUUGUGUCCAGCUCUGCUCAUGCUUAGAUACUUAAAGUCAGUAUUGCCUUGUUA